GAUGAACGCUGGCGGCGUGCCUAAUACAUGCAAGUCGAGCGAACAGACGAGGAGCUUGCUCCUCUGACGUUAUCGGCGGACGGGUGAGUAACACGUGGAUAACCUACCUAUAAGACUGGGAUAACUUCGGGAAACCGGAGCUAAUACCGGAUAAUAUAUUGAACCGCAUGGUUCAAUAGUUAAAGACGGUUUUGCUGUCACUUAUAGAUUGAUCCGCGCCGCAUUAGCUAGUUGGUAAGGUAACGGCUUACCAAGGCAACGAUGCGUAGCCGACCUGAGAGGGUGAUCGGCCACACUGGAACUGAGACACGGUCCAGACUCCUACGGGAGGCAGCAGUAGGGAAUCUUCCGCAAUGGGCGAAAGCCUGACGGAGCAAAGCCGCGUGAGUGAUGAAGGUCUUCGGAUCGUAAAACUCUGUUAUUAGGGAAGAACAAAUGUGUAAGUAACUAUGCACGUCUUGACGGUACCUAAUCAGAAAGCCACGGCUAACUACGUG
rnacentral:rRNA from 1 species